rnacentral:rRNA from 1 species
GACGAACGCUGGCAGCGUGCUUAACACAUGCAAGUCGAACGGAAAGGCCCUGCUUUUGUGGGGUGCUCGAGUGGCGAACGGGUGAGUAACACGUGAGUAACCUGCCCUUGACUUUGGGAUAACUUCAGGAAACUGGGGCUAAUACCGGAUAGGAGCUCCUGCUGCAUGGUGGGGGUUGGAAAGUUUCGGCGGUUGGGGAUGGACUCGCGGCUUAUCAGCUUGUUGGUGGGGUAGUGGCUUACCAAGGCUUUGACGGGUAGCCGGCCUGAGAGGGUGACCGGCCACAUUGGGACUGAGAUACGGCCCAGACUCCUACGGGAGGCAGCAGUGGGGAAUAUUGCACAAUGGGCGGAAGCCUGAUGCAGCAACGCCGCGUGCGGGAUGACGGCCUUCGGGUUGUAAACCGCUUUCGCCUGUGACGAGGCGUGAGUGACGGUAAUGGGUAAAGAAGCACCGGCUAACUACGUG